rnacentral:rRNA from 1 species
CAACUUUCAGCAACGGAUCUCUUGGCUCUCGCAUCGAUGAAGAACGCAGCGAAAUGCGAUAAGUAAUGUGAAUUGCAGAAUUCAGUGAAUCAUCGAAUCUUUGAACGCAUCUUGCACUCCUUGGUAUUCUGAGGAGUAUGCCUGUUUGAGUGUCAGUA